rnacentral:rRNA from 1 species
UACGGGGGGGGCAAGCGUUGUUCGGAAUUACUGGGCGUAAAGGGCUCGUAGGUGGCCAACUAAGUCAGACGUGAAAUCCCUCGGCUUAACCGGGGAACUGCGUCUGAUACUGGAUGGCUUGAGUUUGGGAGAGGGACGCGGAAUUCCAGGUGUAGCGGUGAAAUGCGUAGAUAUCUGGAGGAAUACCGGUGGCGAAGGCGGCAUCCUGGACCAUUACUGACGCUGAGGCGCGAAAGCUAGGGGAGCAAACGGGG